rnacentral:rRNA from 1 species
UACGUAGGGGGCAAGCGUUGUCCGGAUUUAUUGGGCGUAAAGAGCGUGUAGGCGGUUAGGUAGGUCCGUUGUGAAAACUCGAGGCUCAACCUCGAGACGCCGAUGGAAACCAUCUGACUAGAGUCCGGAAGAGGAGAGUGGAAUUCCUGGUGUAGCGGUGAAAUGCGCAGAUAUCAGGAAGAACACCCGUGGCUAAGGCGGCUCUCUAGUACGUGACUGACGCUGAGACGCGAAAGCGUGGGGAGCGAACAGGAUUAGA